UACGUAGGGGGCAAGCGUUGUCCGGAUUUAUUGGGCGUAAAGAGCGUGUAGGCGGCUUUACAGGUCCGUUGUGAAAACUCGAGGCUCAACCUCGAGACGCCGGUGGAAACCGUAAAGCUAGAGUCCGGAAGAGGAGAGUGGAAUUCCUGGUGUAGCGGUGAAAUGCGUAGAUAUCAAGUGGAACACCAGUGGCGAAGGCGAGUCCCUGGACGACUCCUGACACUGAGGCACGAAAGCUAGGGGAGCAAACAGG
rnacentral:rRNA from 1 species